rnacentral:rRNA from 1 species
UUGGAGGGCAAGUCUGGUGCCAGCAGCCGCGGUAAUUCCAGCUCCAAUAGCGUAUAUUAAAGUUGUUGCAGUUAAAAAGCUCGUAGUUGAAUUCCGGGAUCAGUACGCCGGUCGUGCCUUCGGUAUGCACUGGUGUCACUGGUUUCUCCCUUCUGAAGAACCAUCAUGCCAUUCAGUUGGUGUGGCGGGGAAUCAGGACUGUUACUUUGAAAAAAUUAGAGUGUUUAAAGCAGGCUCGCGCUUGAAUACAUUAGCAUGGAAUAAUGAAAUAGGACGUUUGACCCUAUUUUGUUGGUUUCUAGGAUCGACGUAAUGAUUAAUAGGGAUAGUUGGGGGCAUUAGUAUUCAAUUGCCAGAGGUGAAAUUCUUGGAUUUAUUGAAGACUAACUACUGCGAAAGCAUUUGCCAAGGAUGUUUUCAUUAAUCAAGAACGAAAGUUAGGGGAUCGAAGACGAUCAGAUACCGUCGUAGUCUUAACCAUAAACUAUGCCGACUAGGGAUCGGAUGAUGUUAAUUUUUUAAUGACUCAUUCGGCGCCUUACGGGAAAC